AGCUGUAGGUGAACCUUCGGCUGGAUCAUUA
rnacentral:rRNA from 1 species